GGGGAUGACAGGAUUCGAUAGAUGGAUUUUGUUGCCAUACAUAUGCGUGUCGAGGACGCCUUUCCCUCGUUAAAAAAGGGCAAACGAAUACGUGCAAACGUUUUCAAUCGGGUAAAGAACGCUGUAGCUCGCGCUUUCAGUGUUCCGACACUCGCUACCGCUGUAGCGUAAUUGCCACGGCCAUUGCCUCCGUGAUACUCGAUAGCGAAUCGGCAGUGUAAACUUUUCGAGCGUAGGACUUUGUCCCCUCCUGAGGACAUUGUCUGAACCAUUGUCAGGAUCAGCCGCGCGUGAUUUUGCUAUUUUUUAUCGCUCGGUGAAACACCAAAAUGGCUAUGCAUGUAGAGUAUGUUGGUAGCCUGUCUAGACCCGGGUUCAAUUCCCGGCAUCUCCACUA
rnacentral:tmRNA from 1 species